GGCGCCCGGAGUAAAGAUACGGAACUGGAUCACCUACACUGAGUGGACUGUGGUUUGAUUUGUUUGUUGUCAAGGAGGGAUAUCCGCCAAGCUCACCCAAUCGGCAUAAAAUGUGCUGAGAAACAGAGCCAGAGGGAAAAGCAGCAGCAGCUACUCACCAUCCUCCAUCCAUCCUCCAUCUUCCUCUAUUGCCUCCAAUGCAUUCCUGCUGGCAGGCACACUCAUGCCUUCCCGAGGGGACAGCCAGCCUCCAUUGGAAAGCUAAAUAACAGUCAGGGGCAAGUGGGAACUGGAGGGGAGAGAUUUCUGACGAUGACUGCCCUUCAAGGCUGAGGCUCUAAACCAAGUACUCUCACUGCCGAGCGUCGCACCAACACAAAACCUUAAAUGAACAAGCUGUGUGGACGCCAUGUGUUUUCCAUCAGUGAGAAGGGGCUAAUCAGCCAGCCAUGUGGAAUCACAGAGGAGCUGGCUUCAUUUGUGUGAUCAUCUUUCCAUUACUCAAUAAAAGAAACUGUAAAGCCUUGAAA